rnacentral:rRNA from 1 species
GAUGAACGCUGGCGGCGUGCCUAAUACAUGCAAGUCGAGCGAAUGGAUUGAGAGCUUGCUCUUAUGAAGUUAGCGGCGGACGGGUGAGUAACACGUGGGUAACCUGCCCAUAAGACUGGGAUAACUCCCGGAAACCGGGGCUAAUACCGGAUAACAUAUUGAACGGAAUGGUUCGUAGUUGAAAGGCUGCUUCGGCUGUCACUUAUGGAUGGACCCGCGUUGCAUUAGCUAGUUGGUGAGGUCACGGCUCUCCAAGGCAACGAUGCGUAGCCGACCUGAGAGGGUGAUCGGGCACACUGGGACUGAGAGACGGCCCAGACUACUACGGGGGGCAGAAGUAGGGAAUCUUCCGCAAUGGACGAAAGUCUGACGGAGCAACGCCGCGUGAGUGAUGAAGGCUUUCGGGUCGUAAAACUCUGGUGUGAGGGAAGAACAAGUGCUAGUUGAAUAAGCUGGCACCUUGACGGUACCUAACCAGAAAGCCACGGCUAACUACGUGCCAGCCGCCGCAGUAA